AUACGUAGGUGACAAGCGUUAUCCGGAUUUACUGGGCGUAAAGGGCGUGUAGGCGGUCUUGCAAGUCAGAAGUGAAAUUCCUGAGCUCAACUCGGGCGCUGCUUCUGAAACUGCAGGACUUGAGUGCUGGAGGGGAUAGCGGAAUUCCUAGUGGAGCGGUAAAAUGCGCAGAUAUUAGGAAGAACACCGGUGGCGAAGGCGGCUAUCUGGACAGUAACUGACGCUGAGGCGCGAUAGCGUGGGGAGCAAACAGGAUUAGAUCCCCGGGUAGUCCACGCCGUAAACGACGAAUACUAGGUGUAGGGGGUAUCGACUCCCUCUGUGCCGCAGUUAACACAAUAAGUAUUCCGCCUGGGGAGUACGGCCGCAAGGUUGAAACUCAAAGGAAUUGACGGGG
rnacentral:rRNA from 1 species